rnacentral:rRNA from 1 species
GACGAACGCUGGCGGCGUGCCUAAUACAUGCAAGUCGAACGCAGUGGGGACGGGUGAGUAACACGUGGGUAACCUCCCAUCAGAGGGGAUAACACUUGGAAACAGGUGCUAAACCGAUACUGCUGGAUGGCCCCGCGUGGCAUUAGCUAGUUGAUGCGGUAACGGCUCACAAAGGCCACGAUGCCUAGCCGAACAGGUUGGGUGACCGGACGCACUGGUACUGAGAUGCGGACCAUACACCUACGGAACGCAGCAUUAGGGAGUCUGCGGCAAUGGACGAAAGUCUGACCGAGCAAUGACGUGUGAGGGAAGGAGGUUUUCGGAUCGUAAACCUCGGUUGUUAGUGAAGAGGUAUCUAACCAGAAAGCCACGGCUAACUACGUUCCAGCAGCCGCGGUAAUAC